rnacentral:lncRNA from 1 species
AUGCUUUCACGCCAUGGAGCAGGGCUCAGAAACCUUUCUGUCCUCCCCUGGCUGCAGCCACACCACAGGAAGAGCAGAGAAGCAGGGCCGCGGGGCAGGCAGCGCUCCCACCCCCAGCACGGAGCCGCUCUGAGGCCGAAUGGCUUCGCCUCGCUCCCGAGGACAAACACACCAAGCCGCGGCACCGCGCACCGCUCCGGCUCCUCAGCAGGCCCCAGCACUCAGAGCUUCUUUGUUAGAAGCCCUUUUCGCAGCGCGAUUAAGGCAGGACCUUGGAGCAGGCGAGGCUUCUCCCUUGCCCUGUCCCCCGGGAAGCAGGCAGGGCACGCCCAGGCGGCGCGGCUCCCCGGCAGGCCUCACGCCCCGGCGGGGCCGCAGCCGCCUCUCCCCGCCGCUCCUCCCACCGCGGGCCGGCGCCAGCCUCCCCCGGGAGCCCCCGGGACCCCGCGGCGGCGGAGCCGAGCAGGGGCAGCCCCGCUCCCCGCUCCCCGCGGGGCCUCGCCGCUGCCCCUCCCCGCCCCCGCUCCUGCCACGAGGAACCUCCCUCCCCCCUCCCUCCCCCCUCCCUCCCUCCUUCCGCCCGCAGCCGGUCCCGGUUGGCGCCCGGCACUCACCCGCCGCUCAUGGUACCGGGCCGGGCCGCCCCGCGCCGCGCCGGAGGAGGAGCCGGAGCCGGAGCCGGAGCCGCGGCAGCCUAGGGCCGGGGCGCAGCGCCCGGAGCCUGCGCCAUUCAAACGGCGCCGCGCUGCAUGCUGGGCCGCGCCGCGCCCCGCCCGCCGCCCCGCGCCGCGACAAGCAGCGCCCUCUGCCGGCCGCUCCGGCACCGCCACCGGCACCGACAGCCGCACCGCCACCGCCCGCCCGCAGGGGGCGCCCCCGCCGCGGGGCACGGGGCGCUCCGGUCCCUCAUGGCCCCAGCCUCGUCCCCUCAUGGCCACCAGCCUCGUCCUCUCGUGGUUGGCGCCCCAACCUCCACGGUUGUGUGGCCUCCUGCCCAGCCCCGGGCACCUACCGAAAUGUCCCAAAGGCAAAAGUCCGCUGGGAAAGGCGGCUGGGUCAGCCGGCAUCGUCAUCCACACCUGGUGCUGCUGUUGGGUGCUGCUCGGUGCAGAGAAAGCUUUUUGGUGUGCAGAGUUCCUCGAGUAUUUAUAUGGAACCAGGAACCUCACAGCGCUCCCUCCCUGCUGUGUCCGCAGGCUACCAGUUACACAGGGCAGUUACGAGCAUGCGAUGCUACAGCUGGCAGAGAAAUCCAUGCUGAGUGCAGAUUAUAGCUGA